rnacentral:rRNA from 2 species
UACGUAGGGGGCUAGCGUUGUCCGGAUUUAUUGGGCGUAAAGAGCGCGUAGGCGGCCAGGUAAGUCCGACGUGAAAUCUGGAGGCUCAACCUCCAGCGGUCGUUGGAUACUACUUGGCUAGAGUCCGGAAGAGGAGAGUGGAAUUCCUGGUGUAGCGGUGAAAUGCGCAGAUAUCAGGAAGAACACCGAUGGCGAAAGCAGCUCUCUGGGACGGUACUGACGCUGAGGCGCGAAAGCGUGGGGAGCGAACAGG